CGGAAGUUUAGCGAACCACCCUCAACCUCCGGAAGAGCGCGGGAAGUUUGCCGGAAACGGACAGAAAGGAGUCCCUGCGACCGCGUAGCCUCCUGCAGCGCCCCCUGUUGGCAGAGUCGUAGCGAGGCCGAGAUGAGGUCCGUGACGUGGCUGCGUGAGCAUCCCGGCUGCCUGUGGAUGAGUGGGCGUGGGGCUGAGAGGCGACAACAGUGGGGAGCUUCCUCAGCGAUCCUGGGCUUCUCGGGUCAGGCCAACUUCAGUCCGGGCUGGAGGCCGUGCACAACACCAAGCGCAUGGUGGGGUCCUCAGCUGCCUCGGGACUGGCUCCGCCUCUGCCCCUGGCCCUGGGAUGGGGGCCAAAGGUUUUGGGCAGUGGCAGCAGCAGGAGGAAGUAGCACCUGGAAAACGUGUCUCCUGAGUCGACCCUUCCUGUCUGGGGGGGCCGAACCCUGGCUGUCUUUGUUCCCAUAGCAACGAAUAGGGCUCCCCUAUGUUCCAGCCCCUUAGAUACGGUGUGCCCCAGGAGGGCUCUGCAGGAGCUACAGGUCCUUCUGGUGGGAAGGGAGGCGGGAGGUGGGCUGGGGCAGCCCGGCUGGCCUGUGUGGAGACAUCACACUUCCUGGUUGGGGACAGGGUGAAGAGGGUUGGUCCCCACCUCUGCCUUGAGCAGAGCUUCUAGUGGGUGAAGCAGUGGGGAUCUCCUGCCUGCCGGAAGGAUGGGUGGGGCUUCCACAUCGCAGCCCAGUAGGGUGGACUGACCGGUCUUCUGACCUCUGGCUCCUUGGAGGGACUGGCCUGAGGUGGGCCCUGGCAUCCCCAGCCUCCUCUAAACCACCUCCCUGGAACAUGCGGGACAGGAGCCCAAGCGGCAUCUGAGGAGGGCGGGUUCUGCCAGGCACAGAGGGCUCCAGCGUGAUUGCCACUGGUUAAUGACCUGCCACCCCCGCCCCCCCAACCUCUGGUGCCGUCCAAGGACUCUGACCCCAGUGCAGUGUCUGUAGGGAAGAGGAGCCAUGGGGCUUCGGGCAGGCCCCAUCCUGCUUCUGCUGCUGUGGCUGCUGCCAGGGGCCCAUUGGGAUGUGCUGCCUUCAGGUACCGUAGACAUCUCAUCCCUGCACUCAAACAGCCCCUACUCCUGGCCAGGGAGGACUGGCCCCAGGGGACAUGCAGAGGCCCUUGGCCCUGGGAGCCUCAUCCCUGGACAUCAAGGGCAGAGGAAUGUCAGAAGGGAUGUCAGAAGGGCAGAGGGAUGUUAGGGUAAAGAGUCAGACCGGGAGGGAUGGGCUUUCUGAGAGGGAAUAAAGCUGAGGUCUCCCACCCGCCCAUCCCUCUGCAGAAUGCGGCCACUCCAAGGAGGCCGGGAGGAUUGUGGGAGGCCAAGACACCCAGGAAGGACGCUGGCCGUGGCAGGUUGGCCUGUGGUUGACCUCAGUGGGGCAUGUAUGUGGGGGCUUCCUCAUCCACCCACGCUGGGUGCUCACAGCCGCCCACUGCUUCCUGAGGUGAGUGGCGCUGGGUGGGGGUGCUCCUCACCCCUCCCCUUGGCGGCUGCCUGCAGUGGGCCGUGUUUCCAUUCCCCUCCCAGGUCUGAGGAUCCCGGGCUCUACCAUGUUAAAGUCGGAGGGCUGACACCCUCACUUUCAGAGCCCCACUCGGCCUUGGUGGCUGUGAGGAGGCUCCUGGUCCACUCCUCAUACCAUGGGACCACCACCAGCGGGGACAUUGCCCUGAUGGAGCUGGACUCCCCCUUGCAGGCCUCCCAGUUCAGCCCCAUCUGCCUCCCAGGACCCCAGACCCCCCUCGCCAUUGGGACCGUGUGCUGGGUAAACGGGCUGGGGGUCCACUCAGGAGAGGGGGAAGGGGAAUAUGCACUCACCAGCCCCUACUCCUAGUCAGGGAGGACAAGCCCAGGGACCACGCAGAGCCAGCCUGAGUGGUCUCCACAGACGUUGGUCUGCGUGUUUAUCUCCUCUCCCCUCCCACCCCACCCUGAAGCUGGGAACACUUGGGGCCAGGACCCAUGCUGUCCAGACUGUGGGACUCCCCUUGGCCAAGGUGACCACCAUAUUGGAUUUUGGGGAUCUUGAGCCAGUGUCCAGGAUUGUGCCCGUGUUGGGAUGAAUAAGCCAAGGCUAAGAGGUCAUGAGAUUAGCCAGGGUCAUGGGAGAGGAUCUGGGCUUGAGCCCUGCUCCCUGACCCCACUGCCUCCUGGUUUGGGAGUUGAGAAGAGCAGGGUGGGUGGGCAGAGAAGAGGUAGGAGGUGCAGGCUGCCACCAUCACAGGUGAGAGGGCAGAGGCUCACCUGAUGGGGACGAGGCUUGAGGUGGGCUCAGGCUGGCCCCCACAUCACAUCCAGCCCUGGCGAGUGUCCUUCAGGAGGUGGCUGUGCCCCUCCUGGACUCGAACAUGUGUGAGCUGAUGUACCACCUAGGAGAGCCCAGCCUGGCUGGCCAGCGCCUCAUCCAGGACGACAUGCUCUGUGCUGGCUCUGUCCAGGGCAAGAAAGACUCCUGCCAGGGUGACUCCGGGGGGCCGCUGGUCUGCCCCAUCAAUGAUACGUGGAUCCAGGCCGGCAUUGUGAGCUGGGGAUUCGGCUGUGCCCGGCCUUUCCGGCCUGGUGUCUACACCCAGGUGCUAAGCUACACAGACUGGAUUCAGAGAACCCUGGCUGAAUCUCACUCAGGCAUGUCUGGGGCCCGCCCAGGUGCCCCAGGAUCCCACUCAGGCACCUCCAGAUCCCACCCAGUGCUGCUGCUUGAGCUGUUGACCGUAUGCUUGCUUGGGUCCCUGUGAACCAUGAGCCAUGGAGUCCGGGAUCCCCUUUCUGGUAGGAUUGAUGGAAUCUAAUAAUAAAAACUGUAGGUUUUUUAUGUGUA
ensembl:lncRNA PRSS30P serine protease 30, pseudogene